AGUAACUGCGAGUGAAGCGGGAAAAGCUCAAAUUUAAAAUCUGGCGGUCUCUGGCCGUCCGAGUUGUAAUCUAGAGAAGUGUUAUCCGCGCUGGACCGUGUACAAGUCUCCUGGAAUGGAGCGUCAUAGAGGGUGAGAAUCCCGUCUUUGACACGGACUGCCAGGGCUUUGUGAUGCGCUCUCAAAGAGUCGAGUUGUUUGGGAAUGCAGCUCAAAAUGGGUGGUAAAUUCCAUCUAAAGCUAAAUAUUGGCGAGAGACCGAUAGCGAACAAGUACCGUGAGGGAAAGAUGAAAAGAACUUUGGAAAGAGAGUUAAACAGUACGUGAAAUUGCUGAAAGGGAAACGCUUGAAGUCAGUCGCGUUGGCCGGGGAUCAACCUUGCUUUUGCUGGGCGUACUUUCCGGUUGACGGGUCAGCAUCAAUUUUGACYGUUGGAUAAAGUCCAGGGGAAUGUGGCAUCUUCGGAUGUGUUAUAGCCCUUGGUCGCAUACAACGGUUGGGAUUGAGGAACUCAGCACGCCGAAAGGCCGGGUACUUGUACCACGUUCGUGCUUAGGAUGCUGGCAUAAUGGCUUUAAUCGACCCGUCUUGAAACACGGACCAAGGAGUCUAACAUGCCUGCGAGUGUUUGGGUGGAAAACUCGGACGCGUAAUGAAAGUGAAAGUUGAGAUCCCUGUCGCGGGGAGCAUCGACGCCCGGACCAGACCUUUUGUGACGGAUCCGCGGUAGAGCAUGUAUGUUGGGACCCGAAAGAUGGUGAACUAUGCCUGAAUAGGGUGAAGCCAGAGGAAACUCUGGUGGAGGCUCGUAGCGAUUCUGACGUGCAAAUCGAUCGUCAAAUUUGGGUAUAG
rnacentral:rRNA from 1 species